rnacentral:rRNA from 1 species
CCUACGGAUUGCUGCAGUGGGGAAUAUUGGACAAUGGGCGAAAGCCUGAUCCAGCCAUGCCGCGUGUGUGAAGAAGGCCUUCGGGUUGUAAAGCACUUUCAGUGGGGAAGAAAGCCUUGGGGCUAAUACCCUCGAGGAAGGACAUCACCCACAGAAGAAGCACCGGCUAACUCCGUGCCAGCAGCCGCGGUAAUACGGAGGGUGCGAGCGUUAAUCGGAAUUACUGGGCGUAAAGCGCGCGUAGGCGGUCUGAUAAGCCGGUUGUGAAAGCCCCGGGCUCAACCUGGGAACGGCAUCCGGAACUGUCAGGCUAGAGUGCAGGAGAGGAAGGUAGAAUUCCCGGUGUAGCGGUGAAAUGCGUAGAGAUCGGGAGGAAUACCAGUGGCGAAGGCGGCCUUCUGGACUGACACUGACGCUGAGGUGCGAAAGCGUGGGUAGCAAACAGGAUUAGAUACCCCGGUAGUC